GGACCCGCACAAGUAGUGGAGCAUGUGGUUUAAUUCGAAGAUACGCGCAGAACCUUACCAACACUUGACAUGUUCGUCGCGACUCUAAGAGAUUAGAGUUUUCGGUUCGGCCGGACGAAACACAGGUGCUGCAUGGCUGUCGUCAGCUCGUGUCGUGAGAUGUUGGGUUAAGUCCGCAACGAGCGCAACCCUCACUUUUAGUUGCCAUCAUUAAGUUGGGCACUCUGAAAGAACUGCCAGUGAUAAGCUGGAGGAAGGUGGGGAUGACGUCAAGUCCUCAUGGCCCUUACGUGUUGGGCUACACACGUCUACAUUGGGUAGAACAAAAGUUGCUAAGUUGCGAAACCAGCG
rnacentral:rRNA from 1 species